UCUUGAUAGAGAAAUGUGUAGGGUGCAGGAGAAUUCAAGAAAAAAAUUAUGUGUAAUAUACGAUACUAUACAUAAUUUUUUUCUUGAAUUCUCCUGCACCCUACACAUUUCUCUAUCAAGAG